CAUGCAGUCGAACGAUGAAGCCCUAUCUGGGUGCAUUAAUGACUAACGGGUGAGUAACACGUGGGCAAUCUGCCCUUCACUCUGGGACAAGCCCUGGAAACGGGGUCUAAUACCGGAUAACACUUUCCUCUGCAUGGGGGAAGGUUGAAAGCUCCGGCGGUGAAGGAUGAGCCCGCGGCCUAUCAGCUUGUUGGUGGGGUGAUGGCCCACCAAGGCGACGACGGGUAGCCGGCCUGAGAGGGCGACCGGCCACACUGGGACUGAGACACGGCCCAGACUCCUACGGGAGGCAGCAGUGGGGAAUAUUGCACAAUGGGCGAAAGCCUGAUGCACCGACGCCGCGUGAGGGAUGACGGCCUUCGGGUUGUAAACCUCUUUCAUCAGGGAAAAAACGAAAGUGACGGUACCUGCAGAAGAAGCGCCGGCUAACUACGUGCCAGCAGCCGCGGUAAUACGUAGGGCGCAAGCGUUGUCCGGAAUUAUUGGGCGUAAAGAGCUCGUAUGCGGCUUGUCGCGUCGGAUGUGAAAGCCCGGGGCUUAACCCCGGGUCUGCAUUCGAUACGGGCAGGCUAGAGUGUGGUAGGGGAGAUCGGAAUUCCUGGUGUAGCGGUGAAAUGCGCAGAUAUCAGGAGGAACACCGGUGGCGAAGGCGGAUCUCUGGGCCAUUACUGACGCUGAGGAGCGAAAGCGUGGGGAGCGAACAGGAUUAGAUACCCUGGUAGUCCACGCCGUAUACGUUGGGAACUAGGUGUUGGCGACAUUCCACGUCGUCGGUGCCGCAG
rnacentral:rRNA from 1 species